rnacentral:misc_RNA from 1 species
GAAAUGCGAUAAGUAAUGUGAAUUGCUGAAUUCAGUGAAUCAUCGAAUCUUUGAACGCACCUUGCGCUCCUUGGUAUUCCUUGGAGCAUGCCUGUUUGAGUAUCAUGAAAUCUUCAAAGUAAAUCUUUUGUUAACUCAAUUGGUUUCUACUUUGGUAUUGGAGGUCUUUGCAGCUUCACACCUGCUCCUCUUUGUUAAUUAGCUGGAUCUCAGUGUUAUGCUUGGUUCCACUCGGCGUGAUAAGUUAUCUAUCGCUGAGGACACUGUAAAAGGUGGCCAAGGUAAAUGCAGAUGAACCGCUUCUAAUAGUCCAUUGACUUGGACAAUACUUUUAUGAUCUGAUCUCAAAUCAGGUAGGACUACCCGCUGAACUUAAGC